rnacentral:lncRNA from 1 species
CUCUUCUGCAAAGAGGUGGAGUCUCCCUCCCUUCCCUCUUGAAUUGGGCCUAUCAUGAGAGCAAAACACCAUCUUCUGCUGGAAAAGAGAAAAGGAUAGAAUAUUUCUGUGGUGAGAAAGAAGGUUAUUUGAUACCAAACCCAGACCACACCCACUAGAGCUGGAGUUCAGCUUACAGAAAUGGAUCUAAGAUCAAGUCAAAUCGGUAAAGACACUGAUCCCGACCGAUACACUGGCCUCCGGAGCUGGUCAGCUCUGAUUCCUAGAAGAGAGCUGCUAAGGACCGGCCUGGGGACGCCUUGCUGAAAGAGAGCCCUAAGCUGCCGUGUAAGGCAUCUGACUACGCUGAAGCCACUACAUUGGAAAGGUCACAUGGAGGAGCUCCAGCUGACAGUCUCGGAGGAGCUCAGCUUCAAGCCAUCCCUGCAAGGUAUCAGCCAUAUAAAUGAAUCAGCCCAGCUGCCAGUCAAGUAUCUUUGCAUGGCUUCCAUCAGUGCCUCAUGAAACGGAAGAUUGACUAGCCAAGACUUGCCCAAAUUCCUGACCCACAAAAUCAUGAGAUAUAAUAAAAUGGUUGUUAUUUUAAGCCACUAAGCA